GGACUAUAAGCUCAGUCGGUAGAGCACCUGACUUUUAAUCAGGGUGUCCCGCGUUCGAGUCGCGGAUAGAUCACCA
rnacentral:tRNA from 1 species